rnacentral:rRNA from 1 species
AGCAUAUCAAUAAGCGGAGGAAAAGAAACUAACAAGGAUUCCCCUAGUAACUGCGAGUGAAGCGGGAAAAGCUCAAAUUUAAAAUCUGGCGGUCUUCGGYCGUCCGAGUUGUAGUCUGGAGAAGUGCUUUCCGCGCUGGACCGUGUACAAGUCUCUUGGAACAGAGCGUCAUAGAGGGUGAGAAUCCCGUCUUUGACACGGACUACCAGUGCUUUGUGAUGCGCUCUCAAAGAGUCGAGUUGUUUGGGAAUGCAGCUCAAAAUGGGUGGUAAAUUCCAUCUAAAGCUAAAUAUUGGCGAGAGACCGAUAGCGAACAAGUACCGUGAGGGAAAGAUGAAAAGCACUUUGGAAAGAGAGUUAAACAGUACGUGAAAUUGCUGAAAGGGAAACGAUUGAAGUCAGUCGCGUUAGCCAGGACUCAGCCUUGUUUUUACUUGGUGCAUUUUCUGGUUGACGGGCCAGCAUCGAUUUUGACCGCCGGAAAAAGAUUGGGGGAAUGUGGCACCUUCGGGUGUGUUAUAGCCCUCAGUCACAUACGGCGAUUGGGAUCGAGGACCGCAGCACGCCUUUAUGGCCGGGGUUCGCCCACGUUCGUGCUUAGGAUGCUGGCGUAAUGGCUUUAAACGACCCGUCUUGAAACACGGACCAAGGAGUCUAACAUGCCUGCGAGUGUUUGGGUGGAAAACCCGAGCGCGUAAUGAAAGUGAAAGUUGAGAUCCCUGUCGCGGGGAGCAUCGACGCCCGGACUUGAACUUCGGUGAUAGAUCUGCGGUAGAGCAUGUAUGUUGGGACCCGAAAGAUGGUGAACUAUGCCUGAAUAGGGUGAAGCCAGAGGAAACUCUGGUGGAGGCUCGUAGCGAUUCUGACGUGCAAAUCGAUCGUCAAAUUUGGGUAUAGGGGCGAAAGACUAAUCGAACCAUCUAGUAGCUGGUC